ACAUGGUGUAUCAAAGACGAACUGGCAACAGAGGACAGGAACCCACAGACUAAAUACACCGGGUGAUGAGGGCCAGGUGCAAACAAUCAGGGAGGAGCUGACAAUCACCCAGGUGGAACCCACACACAUGAGGGAGGGAGUGAGGAGUCUGAAACGAGAGGAGAGAGAAUCAAUUGGAACAGUUGGAAUUGCAACUGAGGGAAAAGGAGAAGAAAUGCAGCUCAGCAUGCAGGCCUGCCGAGAAGAAAGCAGAAGAACAAUGUGGUAUUUAACCCUCCUAUUACCUUUGGGGUCAAUUUGACCCCAUUCAAGUUUAACGUCUCUAAAUAAAUUAUUGAUAUAAUUUUUUUUGCUUCAUAUUUCAUGACUUUUCCUAAUUUAUUGGGGACAACUGGGUAAACAUAAAAUUAACAAGAAGAUAUGUUUUCAAUUUCCUGUACACAACUUGUACGCAUCGGUGUUCUUCGGGGUCAAUUUGACCCCAAGCUGUUUUUCACUGUGUAAAACAUAAAAGAAAUAUCAACAUGUUUCACACAUUGGUUCUGGUUGUUAUGGAUGAUUUUGAGGUCACUAUAACAAACAAUUUUAUAAUCUUAAAGAAAGUUUUAGGGCCCUAGCCUUACAUAACCCUUGCGGUGUAUGUGGUGUGUGUUUGGGGGAGGUGUUUGUGUGCGUGCAGGUUUUUAUGCCUCUGCCUGUUCCCGCACAAGGUUGCAGUCCAGCUAUGACUGGAAUAUGCAGGUGUACACUGGUAAAUUCCCUGGGCAUGCACCUGAAAAAAAUCAGGGCAUGAGGGUGGUACUUGACAUGGCUGAAGGACUGAAUGGUCAUAACAUUACAUGUGAUAAUUUUUUCACAUCGUAUGCCCUGGGUGAAGAACUGCUGAAAAGGAAGGUUACCAUGUUGGGGACAGUGAGAAAAAACAAGUCGGAGCUUCCCACUGAGCUGCUUGUGAUGAAGAACACAGCGGUAACAUCUUCAAUGUUUGCCUUCACUGACAGAGCCACUGUCGUCUCCUAUUGCUCCAAGAAAGGGAAAAAAUGUCCUGCUGAUGAGCACCAUGCACAAAGAUGCUGUCCUGAGCACCAGAGAAGACAGAAAACCACAAAUGGUCUUGGACUACAACAAGACAAAGAGAGGGGUAGAUAACCUGGACAAGGUCACAGCCACAUACAGCUGCCGACGCAUGACUGCCCGUUGGCCCCUUGUAAUUUUCUUCAACAUCAUUGAUGUGAGCGCCUACAAUGCCUUUGUAAUAUGGAGUGAGAUAAACAAGGACUGGAACAGCGGAACACUGACUCGAAGGAGGAUUUUCCUGGAGAAGCUGGGUUACGCGUUGGUGAAAUCUCGAGAGAGAAUCGAGAGAAGACAGUGCCUUCCAAGAGCAUCAACUGCUGCUGCAACUGUUGUGAAGGACAUCCAUACAGAGGCACACUGUGCAGCUCCUCCAGUGGUUCAAACUACAGGCAGGAAACGUGGUAGGUGCCAGGUCUGUCUGAAAUGACUCCAAGACCAGCAACACCUGUGUGAAAUGCAAGAAAUACAUCUGCAAGGAACAUACAUGCACUCUCUGCACAUCAUGUGUACAGUAGUGCAGACCAAAGGCUGGAAUGUACCUUCUGGUGGCCUGAAGGAAAGAUAAUAUGCUAUUCAUAUUCUGUCAAACUAAUUUUAGUGACUUUGUUUUUUUCACUAUCUCAUGCAAAAAUAUUUGCAUACAUAGCACUUAGUGUAGCAUAUACCAAUCUCAAAUGUACUUUAAUAUUUGUGGAAAUAAAUACCUGUUAUGUGUUCCUUAGUGAUGUUCUGAUGAUGAUGAUAUUCUGUUUUACAAACAAAAUCCUUCUAAAUUUCUGAAAUUGUGUUUGUUUUUCCUGGGGUCAAAUUGACCCCGAACAUAAUCCAUGUUACUAUUCUUGAUAACAGAAAUUGUUUUUCAUUCCAAAUAAUAUGGAUAUAAAAAACAUGUACUUAGACAUAAUAUAAAGCCAUUAAAACACCAAAAAUAUAUCUCUUUCCAAUUUUAGGUCAAUCAGUGAGAUUUUAAUGGUGAUCUGCAUAUUUCGCCAUAGUCGCGAAAAUUCUGCAUGUAUCAGUGGUGGGGUGUAUUUUUAUUUAUUUAAAGGGCUAUUUAGGUAGUCAACAAACAAACAUAAAGUACCUGACACUCAAACUUGGGAAACAAUAUUAACUCUAAUAAUUUUCUGACGGUCUAAGUUGUUGGGGUCAAAUUGACCACAAGGGUAAAAGGUGUUUGUAAAUUUGAAGGUAAUAGGAGGGUUAAGGCAGACUGGGAAGCCUUCAAGAUGUGGAAAUAUGAGUCGGAGAGAAGGGAGAGAAAGAGUUUGAAUUUAAUUGCAUUUAAUUCAUUAAAAAACAAAGAACCUACAAAAAGUGCUGAAAUGUGUACCCCCUCUAAUCCUAAAACACUUUAUCCCUGUUUUUCUGAGAUCCUGAGGAGAUUGGUGGGCACGGAUCUGGACUCCCCCCCUCCCCUGAUCUGAAGCAAUUCGUCAGAGAAUACCGUCCUACCAUGUCAGAGGUGGAGCGUCUGAUGAGCAGACUGCUGACAAAUGACUAUCACAAGAUUCAAAGUGUGUUCCCCUCCACAAGAAUGACUGCUCGCCUGAGAGAUCCGGAUUAUGAGAAGGACACAAACGCAGCCUUUAGAAACGCUGCGGAUGCUCUCAUUGUGAUGGUAAAAGAACAAUUUCCUCCGAGACUGAACCUUUCCGCCAUCACCUCUAUGACACAAGGGCCACAAGAAACAUGCAUCUCCUUCCUGACCUGCCCGACCACAGCCUUUGACACUCACAGCGGCCUUAACAGACCUGAUCCAAUGGGGGCACAGCCCCUAAUGCCAUAUGCAUGCCAUAUUGUCUACUGAGUCCUGCCCCGCAUCCCUGACACCAUAUCCGGAUAGCUCUGACAGUGAUGAUGAAUCGUUUUGCUGACGAGAGAAUCGAACCGUGGAGUCCGAAUCUGAAUUGCUAUCCGAACAUGAAUGGGUUCACCUUGAUGCUGCUGUUUGCUGCUCAGUGCUUUCCAGUAACAGCAAGCGGAAACAAAUCGGCACAGCUCUUUUUCUGCAGUAUUCCAGGAUGUGGCUCUAAUGUGACCCACGUGUUUUGCAACGACGAGUCGCUCCUCAGUGAUGGUCCCAUCCCGAACUGUACCGGGCCUCCACCCCCCAAUACUGUCUGCCAGCACAAGGGCUUCGCAUUCGCCUCCACCGAUUCAGAUGCUGGCUGUGAUUUUGAAGGGAAAGACGGUCUUAUUGAGUCGGGAAAAUGUACAGACAACAGCAGCAUCUGUGCUUCUCUUCACCGUGGAUUUCAUCGUCCAUCGCUGACCACUGCCUUUCCUCUAGUCAACGCUACAUCACAAGUCCCCACAAGGGGGCGUUAUGGAUUAAUUGUUGAAGGUGUAAUUUUAGGUCUGCUGAUCGUAGGAAUAGGAAUAGCAAGAAGAGUCUCUUAUAGACGCUCACAGCAGGAUUCAGCAAGUAACGCUGCUGUGACUGAACCGCUGAGACAGAUGGAAGGUCCCGAAGGAAUCAGUGAUAGUGAUACUGCUGGAUUGGAAGAUGGCGGUUCUACUUCCCACCAGGAGAGUGGAGUUUAAACAACUGCAGCUUCAUCAUCUUUGUUGUAUUUUUCUCAUUUUUUUCUCAAGAUAUCUCAUGGGGUUGUUUUUUUUUUAAAUGUAGCACAAACAUCCAUGAACUGAUUAGGUUUUUGUGGUUAAAGGUCAACGUGAAAUCAGCCCCAUUAUUACAAACACAAUAUCUCAGGAACACCUUAAGAGAGUUUCUGGACUGCAGGAUGAAGUCAUACGGUUUUUGCAAUCAAAAGGUCACUGUGAAAAAUGUUUAUUUAAUCUUUAUCCUUAUUUAAGGCCACGAGUCGCAUCAAUAAACUUAUACAGAUAAUUUUGCAAACACGUCCAGUAGAAUAACAUGAUGAAGUAAUGCCAUUUUGGACAGACCCUGGUGAAGAAUGUUUAUGCGGUAGUUUUUCCUAUUUUUGAAAUCAACAUGACAUCUGUUUUAGAAGUGUUCCUUUUAGUGCAAGCCUCCCCCACUUCCUGUAUAUUAUCAUUACUAUUAUAUUAUGUACAAUAAACUCAGAUGCAAAUUAAAAGUUGUUG
ensembl:lncRNA